rnacentral:rRNA from 1 species
AUGCACGCUGGCGGCGUGCCUAAUACCUGCAAGUCGAGCGAACAGAUAAGGAGCUUGCUCCUUUGACGUUAGCGGCGGACGGGUGAGUAACACGUGGGUAACCUACCUAUAAGACUGGAAUAACUCCGGGAAACCGGGGCUAAUGCCGGAUAACAUUUAGAGCCGCAUGGUUCUAAAGUGAAAGAUGGUUUUGCUAUCACUUAUAGAUGGACCCGCGCCGUAUUAGCUAGUUGGUAAGCUAACGGCUUACCAAGGCAACGAUACGUAGCCGACCUGAGAGGGUGAUCGGCCACACUGGAACUGAGACACGGUCCAGACUCCUACGGGAGGCAGCAGUAGGGAAUCUUCCGCAAUGGGCGAAAGCCUGACGGAGCAACGCCGCGUGAGUGAUGAAGGUCUUCGGAUCGUAAAACUCUGUUAUUAGGGAAGAACAAAUGUGUAAGUAACUGUGCACGUCUGGACGGUACCUAAUCAGAAAACCACGGCUAACUACGU